ACACAACGGAGAGUUUGAUCCUGGCUCAGGAUGAACGCUGGCGGCGUGCUUAACACAUGCAAGUCGAACGAACCUUCGGGUUAGUGGCGGACGGGUGAGUAACGCGUGAGAAUCUGCCCUCAGGAGGGGGAUAACGGUUGGAAACGACCGCUAAUACCCCAUAUGCCGAUAGGUGAAAUGAAUUUCGCCUGAGGAUGAGCUCGCGUCUGAUUAGCUUGUUGGUGAGGUAAUGGCUCACCAAGGCUUCGAUCAGUAGCUGGUCUGAGAGGAUGAUCAGCCACACUGGGACUGAGACACGGCCCAGACUCCUACGGGAGGCAGCAGUGGGGAAUUUUCCGCAAUGGGCGAAAGCCUGACGGAGCAACGCCGCGUGAGGGACGAAGGCCUCUGGGCUGUAAACCUCUUUUCUCAAGGAAGAAGAUAUGACGGUACUUGAGGAAUAAGCCACGGCUAAUUCCGUGCCAGCAGCCGCGGUAAUACGGGAGUGGCAAGCGUUAUCCGGAAUUAUUGGGCGUAAAGCGUCCGCAGGCGGCCUUUCAAGUCUGCUGUUAAAGCGUGGAGCUUAACUCCAUCAUGGCAGUGGAAACUGAUCGGCUUGAGUAUGGUAGGGGCAGAGGGAAUUCCCGGUGUAGCGGUGAAAUGCGUAGAUAUCGGGAAGAACACCAGUGGCGAAGGCGCUCUGCUGGGCCAUUACUGACGCUCAUGGACGAAAGCCAGGGGAGCGAAAGGGAUUAGAUACCCCUGUAGUCCUGGCCGUAAACGAUGAACACUAGGUGUCGGGGGAAUCGACCCCUUCGGUGUCGUAGCUAACGCGUUAAGUGUUCCGCCUGGGGAGUACGCACGCAAGUGUGAAACUCAAAGGAAUUGACGGGGGCCCGCACAAGCGGUGGAGUAUGUGGUUUAAUUCGAUGCAACGCGAAGAACCUUACCAGGGUUUGACAUCCUGAGAACCUCUUAGAAAUUUGAGGGUGCCUUCGGGAAUUCAGUGACAGGUGGUGCAUGGCUGUCGUCAGCUCGUGUCGUGAGAUGUUGGGUUAAGUCCCGCAACGAGCGCAACCCACGUUUUUAGUUGCCAGCAUUUAGUUGGGCACUCUAGAAAGACCGCCGGUGAUAAACCGGAGGAAGGUGUGGAUGACGUCAAGUCAUCAUGCCCCUUACACCCUGGGCUACACACGUACUACAAUGCUACGGACAAAGGGCAGCAAACUCGCGAGAGCUAGCAAAUCCCAUAAACCGUGGCUCAGUUCAGAUCGUAGGCUGCAACUCGCCUACGUGAAGUAGGAAUCGCUAGUAAUCGCAGGUCAGCAUACUGCGGUGAAUACGUUCCCGGGCCUUGUACACACCGCCCGUCACACCAUGGAAGUUGGCCAUGCCCGAAGUCGUUACUCCAACCCUUGUGGAGGAGGACGCCGAAGGUGGGGCUAAUGACUGGGGUGAAGUCGUAACAAGGUAGCCGUACCGGAAGGUGCGGCUGGAUCACCUCCU
rnacentral:rRNA from 1 species